rnacentral:rRNA from 1 species
AUGAACGCUAGCUACAGGCUUAACACAUGCAAGUCGAGGGGCAGCAUUUUAGUUUGCUUGCAAACUGAAGAUGGCGACCGGCGCACGGGUGAGUAACACGUAUCCAACCUGCCGAUAACUCCGGAAUAGCCUUUCGAAAGAAAGAUUAAUACCGGAUAGCAUACGAAUAUCGCAUGAUAUUUUUAUUAAAGAAUUUCGGUUAUCGAUGGGGAUGCGUUCCAUUAGUUUGUUGGCGGGGUAACGGCCCACCAAGACUACGAUGGAUAGGGGUUCUGAGAGGAAGGUCCCCCACAUUGGAACUGAGACACGGUCCAAACUCCUACGGGAGGCAGCAGUGAGGAAUAUUGGUCAAUGGGCGAGAGCCUGAACCAGCCAAGUAGCGUGAAGGAUGAAGGCUCUAUGGGUCGUAAACUUCUUUUAUAUGGGAAUAAAGUUUUCCACGUGUGGAAUUUUGUAUGUACCAUAUGAAUAAGGAUCGGCUAACUCCGUGCCAGCAGCCGCGGUAAUACGGAGGAUCCGAGCGUUAUCCGGAUUUAUUGGGUUUAAAGGGAGCGUAGGUGGAUUGUUAAGUCAGUUGUGAAAGUUUGCGGCUCAACCGUAAAAUUGCAGUUGAAACUGGCAGUCUUGAGUACAGUAGAGGUGGGCGGAAUUCGUGGUGUAGCGGUGAAAUGCUUAGAUAUCACGAAGAACUCCGAUUGCGAAGGCAGCUCACUAGACUGUCACUGACACUGAUGCUCGAAAGUGUGGGUAUCAAACAGGAUUAGAUACCCUGGUAGUCCACACAGUAAACGAUGAAUACUCGCUGUUUGCGAUAUACAGUAAGCGGCCAAGCGAAAGCAUUAAGUAUUCCACCUGGGGAGUACGUUCGCAAGAAUGAAACUCAAAGGAAUUGACGGGGACCCGCACAAGCGGUGGAGCAUGUGGUUUAAUUCGAAGCAACGCGAAGAACCUUACCAAGUCUUGACAUCCCGAUGACCAAGUAUGUAAUGUACUCUCUCUUCGGAGCAUCGGUGACAGGUGGUGCAUGGUUGUCGUCAGCUCGUGCCGUGAGGUGUCGGCUUAAGUGCCAUAACGAGCGCAACCCUUAUCUUUAGUUACUAACAGGUUAUGCUGAGGACUCUAGAGAGACUGCCGUCGUAAGAUGUGAGGAAGGUGGGGAUGACGUCAAAUCAGCACGGCCCUUACGUCCGGGGCUACACACGUGUUACAAUGGGGGGUACAGAAGGCGGCUACCUGGUGACAGGAUGCUAAUCCCAAAAACCUCUCUCAGUUCGGAUCGAAGUCUGCAACCCGACUUCGUGAAGCUGGAUUCGCUAGUAAUCGCGCAUCAGCCAUGGCGCGGUGAAUACGUUCCCGGGCCUUGUACACACCGCCCGUCAAGCCAUGAAAGCCGGGGGUACCUGAAGUACGUAACCGCAAGGAGCGUCCUAGGGUAAAACUGGUAAUUGGGGCU